rnacentral:snoRNA from 1 species
UGGCUCAGUACUUGAACCUAUAUUGUAUUCAACUAAUUGCUCUAUAGGCCAAGCAACUGUGCUGGACUAAAUUGACUUGUUGUAACUUGGGGGUUUUCAGCAAUCUCAUUGAACUGCUCUUUUAAAAUGAAGCUACAUAU